GUGCUCACUUUGGCAACACAUACACUAAGAUUGGAAUGAUACAGAGAAGAUUAGCAUGGCCCCU
ensembl:snRNA U6 U6 spliceosomal RNA